UGGGGAAUAUUGGACAAUGGGCGAAAGCCUGAUCCAGCCAUGCCGCGUGUGUGAAGAAGGUCUUCGGAUUGUAAAGCACUUUAAGUUGGGAGGAAGGGCAGUAAGCGAAUACCUUGCUGUUUUGACGUUACCGACAGAAUAAGCACCGGCUAACUCUGUGCCAGCAGCCGCGGUAAUACAGAGGGUGCAAGCGGUAAUCGGAAUUACUGGGCGUAAAGCGCGCGUAGGUGGUUCGUUAAGUUGAAUGUGAAAGCCCCGGGCUCAACCUGGGAACUGCAUCCAAAACUGGCGAGCUAGAGUAGGGCAGAGGGUGGUGGAAUUUCCUGUGUAGCGGUGAAAUGCGUAGGUAUAGGAAGGAACACCAGUGGCGAACGCGACCACCUGGGCUCAUACUGACACUGAGGUGCGAAAGCGUGGGGUGCAAACAGG
rnacentral:rRNA from 1 species